rnacentral:lncRNA from 1 species
GGGCGUCCUUACUCCCAGUCUUUCCAGAUGUUCUUCCCACUCCUCAACUGCUCCUGGCUCAGAAACCCUGCACACCUGGAAGAAAGUGAGAACCAGUUUUUCAACAAACACAUUGCACAGACUUAUUGUGAACCCCGGGUGGAAUCAAGCAUCGGAGGAAGAGAACGUGGUAAUAUUGACUCCAAUCCAGAAGACAGUCAUCAGUUAAGUAAAUAAAACAGGAACAGAACAUUGGGUCUUGCUGUGUCCCUAGGCUGGAGUGCAGUGGUGCAGUCUCAAUUAUGCCAGAUGGCUCUGAGGUCCAAGUAAAAGAUAAUAUUUGCAACCAACUCACUGGAGUUGACCAUCAAAACUCUUUUCCAGGCACACUCAGGCAUCGCAGAAAAUAAUAUGUAUUGUGGAAUCCCUCACUUGAUGAAUAAUCUAGAUGAUCAGAAAUGUGGCACUAUUUUGGCUUUCAGGUGGAAAAGCACCCUGAAUCCAGCUUCCUGCUAUGAAUGAAUACUGAGCUUGGGUUGGUGGAAAUUGAUUUUCGAGAUAAAGAAUCCAGCCAGGACUGUGAAGCCCCAGGGAAUGGCUGCACUUCAAGUCAGAAGGAGCCUGGGUCCCUGAAUCAUCAUGUGGAAGGCUCUCCACCCAGUUCAAUGGUGCAAUGGACCACAAGCAGGAACUUAAUUUAGAAUGUGCUUAUUUUGUUAGAUUUUGUAAUUAAAAAAUGGAUCCCACUCUGACUGAA